rnacentral:rRNA from 1 species
CAGUAGCCGCGGUAAUACGAAGGGGGCUAGCGUUGUUCGGAUUUACUGGGCGUAAAGCGCACGUAGGCGGAUCGAUCAGUCAGGGGUGAAAUCCUGGAGCUCAACUCCAGAACUGCCUUUGAUACUGUCGAUCUCGAGUCCGGAAGAGGUGAGUGGAACUCCUAGUGUAGAGGUGGAAUUCGUAGAUAUUAGGAAGAACACCAGUGGCGAAGGCGGCUCACUGGUCCGGUACUGACGCUCAUGCACGAAAGCGAGGGGAGCAAACAGGAUUAGAUACCCGGGUAGUCCCUGUCUCUUAUAC